UUGGCCAUUUGUAUUUCUUCAUCUGAGAAGUGUCUGUUCUUUCCAGGUUAUCUUUUUAUCCUAUACUCUACUGAGAAAUAAUCCCUGGACAGAAAGCCAAGAGUAUCCUAAGGGGUUCCAUUGGAGAAGAAAAGAAUGUUUGAGUUUUAGCCAAGCUUAAACUCUGUAUUAGCCAAUGCUUACUAGGAUCCAAUUAAGGGCUCAGAGCCCAUGCAGUGUCCUGUGCAAGUCUACAUUGAGGAUCUGCACCAGGAAGGCCCAAAGGUCGGUGGUAGAAACUAGAAAGUCUGCACUGGCAGGGUGAAGGCUCUGUGCCAGAAGGCUGGGGAAUGUGCACUGGAGCCAGGAAGCAAUGCUCAAGGAGAAGACCAGUGCUCCCUCAAAGAGAACAAAAGCCAUUUCUGGACAGCAAGGGUCCGCGCUCCUCCGACCAGGAGAACAACUGAGUUUGUAUUAGGAAAACCAGCCUCGGCAAGCUUCUCCAGGAAAAUCAACAACAUGCAAUCUUCCCCUCUCCUUCUUUUAUGUCAUUUUGGCAAUAAUACU